CGGGCGCUGAGCACGGGCUGGCUUUGUGGCUCUCGCGGUGUUUGCGCGAGCUAGCUUCCUUCCUUCCUUCCUGCCAGUCUGCUUGUCUUCCGCCCCCUGUUCCCCGCCCGCCUCCCCUGCCUUCCCCCGCGGCCCCCUCCCCGCAGGGAUAAUAUGGUCUCCGGCGAUGGACGCCCCAAGUGCAGGAAGAGCCUUUGAGUACCUUAUUGAAACAUUAAAUGACAGUUCACAUAAGUUCUUCAAUAUACCUAAACUUGGAGGCACCAAGUAUGGUAAUGUUGCUUUACAUUUUCUUGGGCUUGUUUUAAUUUCUAGUAAUAAAAAUGCAUUUGUCUAGAGGAGCCGAAGAAAUUUUAAAUUUGUUUCCAUAAUAUUGUAACAGGCAUACCUACACAUAUCUCUUAACAUUUUAAAAAA
rnacentral:lncRNA from 1 species